AUUGAACGCUGGCGGCAGGCCUAACACAUGCAAGUCGAGCGAGCGGCGGACGGGUGAGGAAUGUAUGGGGACUGCCCGAUAGAGGGGGAUAACUACUGGAAACGGUAGCUACUACCACAUCCUAUCGGGUAACCCAUAUGGGGUUAGCUAGUAGGUGAGGUAAUGGCUCACCUGGGCGACGAUCCCUAGCUGGUCUGAGAGGAUGAUCAGCCACACUGGGACUGAGACACGGCCCAGACUCCUACGGAGGCAGCAGUGGGGAAUAUUGCACAAUGGGCGAAAGCCUGAUGCAGCCAUGCCGCGUGUAUGAAGAAGGCCCUAGGGUUGUAAAGUACGUUCAGUCGGGAGGCGUUACCGACAGAAGAAGCACCGGCUAACUCCGUGCCAGCCGCCGCGGUAAUAC
rnacentral:rRNA from 1 species